rnacentral:rRNA from 1 species
CAAAUUUGAAAUCUGGCACCUUCGGUGUCCGAGUUGUAAUUUGAAGAAGGUAACUUUGGAGUUGGCUCUUGUCUAUGUUCCUUGGAACAGGACGUCACAGAGGGUGAGAAUCCCGUGCGAUGAGAUGUCCAACUCUAUGUAAAGUGCUUUCGAAGAGUCGAGUUGUUUGGGAAUGCAGCUCUAAGUGGGUGGUAAAUUCCAUCUAAAGCUAAAUAUUGGCGAGAGACCGAUAGCGAACAAGUACAGUGAUGGAAAGAUGAAAAGAACUUUGAAAAGAGAGUGAAAAAGUACGUGAAAUUGUUGAAAGGGAAGGGUUUGAGAUCAGACUUGGUAUUUUGUAUGUCUUGCUUUCGGGUGGGGCCUCUGCAGUUUACUGGGCCAGCAUCGGUUUGGACGGUAGGAUAAUGACAUUGGAAUGUGGCACUACUUCGGUGGUGUGUUAUAGACUUUGUUGAUACUGCCUGUCUAGACCGAGGACUGCGUCUUUGACUAGGAUGCUGGCAUAAUGAUCCUAAACCGCCC